rnacentral:lncRNA from 1 species
AUGCAGAAAGGGUGCUGGCUUGCUUUUAUCACAUCAAAGCCUGAUAACAGCAAUUCUGUGCUUACCAACCUCCCUCAUGAGCGUAUACAGCAUCCACAGAUGCCUUUGAAGACUUCUGCUGAGGAUCAUGGACCAUGUCCUAGUUCUCUAAUCCUGCAAGGAGAUAACAGUCCCACAAUGGAGGAAAUGGGCAAAAGUGAUGGAAUCAGUGAGCUGAAACAUCUGCACAUCACCAGCAGCUGCCACUGCCCUCAAGGAAAUCUUCCAGAGAAGAGGUCCAGAGACAAAGAGAAGCAGGAGCCUUGCAAGCUUGUGUGA